UACACUUCAUUUCGUUUCACUUAUCUGAUUGAGCUAGCGUUUUUUCGGUGAAUAGUUGAGCGAGAAACCAUAAAUUAAUGAGGCAAGUAAAUUAUACGGAAUUUAUUAUUACAAUUAUUUGCUCAUGUUCUCCUUACCUAAAGAGAGAACCGUGUUAUGAUGGACGAAUGGACAAAACGGCACAUGUAGCAUGCAGCGCACGUUGCCAGCUGCAAGCCGCUUGAACUGUUCAGGGUUGCGGGGGUACUGGAGCCUAUCCCAGAAUGCAUUUGGCGAAAGUUCAGGAAGGCUACUUGCAUAAAGACAUCACGGCUGCCCUCCUGCCAUGUAUGUGAUGGUGUCCUGGUGGCAGCUGUACAGGCCUUGCACAUUUCUGCUUCCUCUGCAUGCAAAACUGUGGCAUGACCAAUGUGGCUCGCUCUCGUUUGCAGACAAGGGGACUGUUCUAAUCCCUGGAUAUGCUCUAUGGUCUGGGAUCUGGUAAGGCACUCUUCUAGUGGCUGGAUGGGCCCCAUGGCCUCGUACUGAAACAAAACUGUGCCAGUGUUGACUAUGGCUAGCAGCCCUGCAAGAUGGCACACAGUUCUCUCUCCAGGGAUGGAAAAGUUUCUGUCAGUCAGCAUUAUGGUGUCUCAUCGAGCACCAGCAGCACUGGUUGACUAACCAAGAGUCCGACAAGCCCGACUAGCGAACUGUGGUACUGUGGCUGACAUUGUGUGCAUUGGAAGAGAGAAAGUGCUUUCUGUGCUCUCCCAAACUGAUAGCAAGAUGUAUGCAAUGAACAUUUAUAAAUCCAAUUAGGUAUUCCAACUUGGGGAGUAAAGGGGGGGAGGUAUUAAAAACCGCUUUUGCUUUUGAUUGGUCAGCCUCUGCACUUACAUAACCUCAUUUUAGAGUUUGAAUUUUUCCAAACAAAGAACAGACGUUCUCUACGGACACAAUGCAUGCUGACUGCUGUACAGAGCAAAUAGCCAGACCUGGGAUCUCCUGGCUACUUCUCCUUGUUUUUAAUAAAAAUCUCCUUCCUGCUUUUUCAUACAAAAGCACAAAUCUUUCAGGAAAAAGAGCUCUUUUUAGAUACCUGAUGCGUCUUUUCGGAAGAUCAUUUCGCGGAUAUUUCUCCGGUUGCGCUCUGACAGUAAUGGAUAUAAUGUCCACUUAACUUAAUGCAAUGGAUAUAAUGUUGCUCUGAAUAGAAUGGAUGUAAUGCACUUUGUCACCAACUGCUUUGAUGAUUCAUUUUUCUACGAGCUCCUAGCUGUUCACAACACACAUUGUGUGCUUUGAGGAACUUUCGUCGUGUUCGUUUGUCAAAACUCAAUUACACUGAACAUGCAAAGCUGCAUGUCAAUGGAACUCUAGAAUUAUGCAUUCUAGAAUUAUGGAACUGAAAAUAUUGGCGUUUGCAGAAUGGAAAACCACUGAAACGGCAUACUCCCUAUUUUAAAAAUAUAUCUGCAGUUUAUGUAAAUGAAGGCCAUACCUUAGUUUAAUUUUUCUUUCUGGUGUGUCAAUGAAAUGUGCCAUUGACAAAAAUCUUGUCUGUGUCCUGCUUUCCUGUAUUUCUAACUAUACAAAUAAUGGAAACUUUGAUUCAGUUCAAUUCAGGAGAGAAAACCUGAUUGUGUGAUCUAUCGAAUGUUUGUAGUAGUAACAGGCUAUAUAUUGUAUUGUAUAUUGGAAACGUGCUGAACUUUAUUCAGUAUUAUUUAUCGGAACAUGCUGAACUUUAUUUAAUUCCUCGUGAAUGUGUACAGCAGCAUACUUAUUUGGCAAGACAGCUUGUACAGUUUGUGUCCCAAGUGCCUGUUUGCAAUUCACACUCAGGGAUGAGUUAUUAUAAGCCUUUUUUUGGCAGGAGGGGGGGUCACCCUGUGACUCUAGGUCAUCAGAACAGCUUCUCUGUGUCACAUGUUCAGUCACAGUUCAAUAAAUCCUGUCUGUAGGUUGAGUCUCCCCCAUUGACUCAUGUUUUAAAAUAUGAAUUACAUUUCAUUUCAUAAAUUGUUUACAUGAAAGAAGAAUAACUCAUCGCGCCACACUAUCCAAUGUGCACUGGAAUGUCUUUUUAAAGCAGCUAAGUGCCGAUUAGAUGGAUUAGGAAUUUCUGUUAGACGGAUCUCAACCUUAUUUUAAACGUCUGUUUCUUUUGCUAAAUAAAGAAAGGAACUGCAUGUGAUAAACCUACAAUAAACACUUUGCCAUGUCUUAAUCUCUAAAGAGGCUGAGCAUUAGGCAUGGAUUUAGUCAACAUGCAUCCUUGCGUUUUUUUACCCUUCACAAACAGUUUGGCUAGUUUCAUGAUCGCCAAAAAUGAACUUGUCAAAACUGUGUUUGUGAGGAAGAAAGUGUUUCUCAGUCCUACUUUCAAAAGACAAUUUUUACUUGCUUGCAGAGGAAAUGUAAAAGGUAGACCUACUCACUGUGGAGCUGCAGUUGUUUUGGGAAGCUGUACAGUCAUUGUACUACCUGUUUUUCACUGCGCAUGGAAAUACGUUUUUUUUUUCCAAUUUUCCACUUUCAAAUAUGAACUGCCCCUUUAAUUCAGGUGACAAAGGAUUAGCCUACCUAUCACUGGGGUGUAAUGGCCCGACCAAUGAAAUUCUUGGUAUGUUAGUCAUUUAUGAAUCUUGGCCUUCUUUGUUUGCGCUCAUUGGAAGGUGCACUGGAUAAGAGCAUCAGCUGAAUGCCUGGAUGGUAAAUGUAAAUGAAGAUACUUUCCGGGUUUCUGGGUCUCUGCCACGGCCGCCGACUGCUCUGUUUGAAUCCGGCGACACAUUUUGGCGGGAAGUGAAGGGGCAACUGCCGCAUCGUACCUCUGAACCGAUUCCGCAGGCCCCGAGCUCACCACCAAGAAGGAGGACAGAGCUCCUCCAGAGAGCAGCAGGUUUAGAUUUAGGAGAGGUCGCGGAUAAAAUAAACAGUUUUUCAGUUUGACACUUGCCAGAAUACCGACCCGCUGAUCGGCCCCAAAUGUCUGCACUGCGCUCUCAGGAAAAAAACCAGAACAACUUUAUUUGACAUACAAUACGUGUUGUACUUAUGGAGUACAUGCUUUCAGGAUUAAUUGGCUGUGAUUCCCAAGAAAUAACUGAUCAAACUAACAAGCUAAAUGAAACCCAUUCAGGUAUUUGUGCUAUGACAAAAAAUGAAAUAACACUCCAAUAAACAACUGUUACGCUAAAUUGAUAGUUGUCUUGGCAUGUGUGCGGUGAAAUCAUGCAUUGACUUAGUGAUAUAAAUCUAACAGUGCACCAGAUCCUCAUAAGCUACUAUAAUGGUUGUAGAGCAAACCAAUAAGCUCUGAGUGUCUGAAAUUGAGUCAGUGCUGAACUCAGAUUUCAUAAAUCAAGGCUUACUACUACCUAUCUAUGAAAAAAAAGACAAUUUACCAAAUAAUACUUUUGUAUUUUCUGUAGAACCAAACAGUGAAGAAGAAAUGACCAAAACCAUCAAAUUAUGAGUACUGAUACAAAACAGUAAUGAAUAAAUGAAGUUAAAAUAAAUAAAAUACCAAUCAAUCGUUUGAGGUUAAGGGAGUAGACAGCUGCAUAAAGAAAACUUUUAUGGAUAUUUUGUCAGAUUAUUUGUGUAUUUACCUUAUUUUGAUGGUUUGGACACAUAAAAGAUACCCUAAAAUCAAAUGCAGGCCUAUUUGAUUCCAUAUGUGGAUGGUGUUAGGCUACCACAUUAUGACCACAAGAGUAGGCAUAGGUAAACAAUAAAUACAAAUAAGCCAUUUUGUAGUUUGACUGAACAAGGUGAGAUUUCUCCAUGCUACGCCUGUGCGUAUGUAUAAACUAAAUUCAUUCUGUAACGUGUUUGAACCAUCACAUUGCCAGUUUUUACAUAACUUUUCAGAGAUGGACCUUUUUGAUGCACUACCCUGAAGCUAAAAAUAAGAUUUAUGCGCAAAGUUCAAAGGUUUAGUGGAUUGAUGUUUACCAAAACUGUUCUUAAAUACUCUUAAAUGCUCUUAUAUUUUUCUUGUUGGCAGAACACUUUGUGCAGAACUUUCUGAAAAGUACAUUUUACAUGAGCCAAAGUAUUUUUGCUUUGGCUCAAAAUGUUGCAAAUGUGCAGGAUUUAUUUAUUUAUUUUUAUUUUAUUUAUUUAUUUCAUGUCGUGGCGACCUUGCUCAUGACCGACACAACAAGGCUUUAUGUAAGCAAAAAAUUCCAUACAAACAGAUUGUUUCCCCAGACAAGGAGUGAAAUAUGUAAUUUCUCUGGAACCCUACACUUUGCUAACUGGCCCAUUUGUUUUUUAUCCCCCCACUGUGACACAUGCAGAUAUUAGAUUACCUUGUGCUGUCUGUGUUUCUGUGUAACACUCAUAUCUCAAAAACAACUAUUUCCCUCGAAGCAAUACAGUAUUGGAACUCAGGACAAAAGCUAAUGUGAGCUUUCCACAAUUUGAAUAGCUUUAAUCUACUUAUGUACUUAAAAGCACAUGCUAAGAAUUUGUAAACAAAUGGUCCCUAUUCAGGCUAUUUAUUUAUUUGUACAAGGUCACUCCAAUGGGCUUAUCAGUUCAAUAAAAUCCAUGUAGAGAAUCCAUGUAGCACAUAUCAGUCUCUGAAAAACUGGUUCCAAUCACAGUUGGUUGUGGUAAGCUGGUUUGUAACUCUGUAAACUGUAUGUCACGUUUACUCUUAAAGCAUUGAAUUUGGGCUUAUGCUUCCCUGAGUCUCAAACCAGUUCUUGUAGAGAAAACACAUAUUGUAAAUCACAGUU